UAGUAGAUGAUGUUUUCCAGAAGCACAUAGAAUAGUACCUAUCGCAUAAGAAAAGGGCAGUGCUCUUUAGCUAUUAAUCCUGAAACCUGUUUGACUUCUCCCCAUGCCCCCAUCACAAGCAUCUUCGUUUAGUUCUUAUUCCCCAUGUUCCACGUCCUUUCAGAUGUCUCUGUGUCUACUUUUCAAGGUUGUAAUAAAAAUUAAUAUAAUGUGUGUAAAGUACCUGGCACAGUGCCUGACACAGGAGGUCAACUGUGGAGGGAUUGCCACCUCUAACUGAAACUCAGCACUCAACUCUUUUCCUCCUCCAGCCAUUUCAGUCAUCCAAUUCUGACAUACCUUUGAGUUUGGCCAAUGCUUUCCUCUGCUUUGUCGCCUAUUUGCCCUUUUUAUGUCCCUACCCACCCUAGCAAGUCCCUAGGCUUUUCGCCACCUAGAAUGUUCUUUAGCCCCUUGCUCUCAACUGAUCCAUUCCAGUUGGUGAGAUAUGAGUCAGAAAUCUUAUCUCCUAUGGAAGUCCACAUGUCAUCUUCCAGAUGGGAGAUUCUUAGCAAUUUCUGAGGAUCCCUCCCCAGCCUGAAGAGAUCUCUACCCUGAGACACCCCUGGGCAAGAAGGCCACCAUGAUAGUCUUACUCUCUGCUGGCU
rnacentral:lncRNA from 10 species